rnacentral:lncRNA from 1 species
CAGAACUGUCUCGGAAAGCCCUGGGAAAACAGGACAAAGAAACCUGUGUGAAUUUUCAGCUUUUCACCUUCUCUGAUUUUAUUUCUUCCUCACUCUUCCUUUGACAGUCCUCGCAGUCCGCCUGAGAGAGUAGAGAAGACCCCCUCCCAGAACCUUCCUGUAAGGUCUCCCCGCUGACUUCCUGUAGUGGAUGUGACUGUGUGCCAGGUGCCUGCCGAAGACCCCUGUCACUGACUGUGCCCUUUGGGAAAGAGUCAACAAUGGCCUCCUCCUAUGGCUGACUUCGUUCAUGUUCAGGCUCUCCAGCUUGCUAGUGAGAAUUGCCAAGGAUUGGUUCAUGGCAGGAUAGAACUAAACUGAUAGAUGAAAGCUCCACAGUGCUUCAAGACGGGGUCCCGUUCAUGUUAAGCAGUUUUCCUUCCUUCAAAAUAAAAAACUAGCAGUCCUUAG